UACGUAGGGGCCUAGCGUUGUCCGGAUUUAUUGGGCGUAAAGAGCUCGUAGGCGGUUCGGCAAGUCGGAUGUGAAAUCUCCACGCUUAACGUGGAGGGGCCAUUCGAAACUGCCGUGACUCGAGUCCGGUAGGGGAGUGUGGAAUUCCCGGGUGUAGCGGUGAAAUGCGCAGAUAUCGGGAGGAACACCAAUAGCGAAGGCAGCUCGCUGGGACGGUACUGACGCUAAGGCGCGAAAGCGUGGGGAGCGAACAGG
rnacentral:rRNA from 1 species